rnacentral:rRNA from 1 species
CACCGCGGUUAUACGAGAGGCUCAAGCUGAUAGACACCGGCGUAAAGAGUGGUUAAAAACAGUAAAACUAAAGCUAAACACCUUCAAGGCCGUUAUACGCAACCGAAGACAGGAGAAACCCCCACGAAAGUGGCUUUAAAAUCAUUGAACCCACGAAGAUUAGGAUA